rnacentral:rRNA from 1 species
UAAGGAAUAUUGGUCAAUGGGGGCAACCCUGAACCAGCCAUGCCGCGUGCAGGAAGGACGGCCCUACGGGUUGUAAACUGCUUUUAUACGGGAAUAAACCUCUUUACGUGUAGAGAGUUGAAUGUACUGUAAGAAUAAGGAUCGGCUAACUCCGUG